AAGUCGUAACAAGGUUUCCGUAGGUGAACCUGCGGAAGGAUCAUUAACACGUAUCCAACGUUAAACCCCCCGUGCACACAGAGACCAGCUCCCCUCAAUUUCGGUCUUUUGGCAAUCUCUGGUAAAUCAUCGCCGAACAGUUUUGAUUCAGAGACAUCCAAAGGGCCGGGGUAGGGUAUUGAAGUAGUUGUCCCAUGCAAGCAGCCUGGUUUCUUGGAAGCAGAAAGUGUGAUAGAAGAUGUCGGAGAACGGACCGAGUGGUAGUCUGUGAAAAAGAAGACGCUUUACGAAUCACUGACCAACACGGCCAGUGACCGGGUUCCUGGGUCCUAGACCCCCUGAUCACCCCGACAGUCGCAGACGCGGGUAGGGAUACGUCCUUACCAAAAAAUAAAUACUUGAACAACUGUUAACAAUGGAUAUCUUGGUUCUC
rnacentral:misc_RNA from 1 species